GCCCUGGUAGUUUAGUGGUGAAGACUUGGUGCUCUCAUUGCCAAGGUCUGGGUUCAUUUCUCAGUCAGGGAA
rnacentral:tRNA from 1 species